UUAGAAACCCUAGUAGUCCUCAUCGGGUGCCAGCAGCCGCGGUAAUACGAAGGGGGCUAGCGUUGCUCGGAAUUACUGGGCGUAAAGGGAGCGUAGGCGGACAUUUAAGUCAGAGGUGAAAUCCCGGAGCUUAACUUCGGAACUGCCUUUGAUACUGGGUGUCUUGAGUGUGAGAGAGGUAUGUGGAACUCCGAGUGUAGAGGUGAAAUUCGUAGAUAUUCGGAAGAACACCAGUGGCGAAGGCGACAUACUGGCUCAUUACUGACGCUGAGGCUCGAAAGCGUGGGGAGCAAACAGG
rnacentral:rRNA from 1 species